AACAAAGUCUUAGCAACGAACACCCGCGUUUCGCUAAUCUCUCCCGAUUGAACAGAGAACUUUGAUUUUUCCUCAAAAUUCUCUCUUUCAUCAUAAAAACCUCUAUUUCUCUCUUUAAUUCUUCCUCAUUUCUCACCAUCUCUCAUUUGUGCUCUCUUCACUAACUCGGUGGCCUGACUCGCCGGGUCACGGAUCGCAAUGACUCGGCGUUGCUCUCACUGCAGCAACAAUGGCCAUAACUCCCGAACCUGCCCCUCCCGCGCCGGUGGCGGCGGUGGCAGUGGCGCAGGUGUCAAGCUCUUUGGGGUUAGGCUCACCGACGGCUCUUUCAUCAAGAAAAGCGCCAGCAUGGGUAACCUCUCUGUACAUUACCAUAGUUCUUCUUCCGCCGCCGCCUCUCCCAAUCCCGACUCUCCUAACUCCGAUCCCGUUCAUGAUUCCGAUGGCUUUUUAUCCGAUGAUCCUGCCCAUGCAUCCUGCUCCGCUAAUCGCCGGGCUGAAAGGAAGAAAGGUGUUCCAUGGACAGAGGAGGAGCAUCGAUUGUUCUUAGUUGGUCUUCAGAAACUGGGGAAAGGAGACUGGCGUGGGAUUUCUCGGAAUUUUGUUAUAACAAGAACUCCAACUCAGGUGGCAAGCCAUGCUCAGAAGUAUUUCAUACGACAGAGUAAUGCAACGAGAAGAAAGCGAAGAUCGAGCCUUUUUGACAUGGUUCCUGAAAUGGCAACAGAUCCGCUACCUGUGCCAGAAGAUGAGAUUUUACAUGCUUCUCAGACAAAAGAAACAGAAAACUCUAAUUCACAACCUUCACUAAAUCUCUCACUUAACUCAGAGUUCCAUAUGAUGGAAACUACAGUAGAAGAAAAUGGAAAAGAACUCCAUGUACCUAAGAUGGAAGUUGCUGGUUUUCCCCCUGUGAUACCAGGAUUCAUCCCAGCUUAUAUGCCUGUACCUUUCCCUAUUUGGGCACCAAGUUCAUUCCCAAUGGAAGAAGAAAAUGUUGUAGAAACGUGUCAUCAUGAGGUCCUAAAGCCAAUUCCAGUUGUGCCAACGGAGCCAGUCAAUGUUGAUGAACUAGUUGGCAUGUCUCAACUCACUCUGCGAGAGUAUGAAAGAGAGCGUAGAGAGCCUUCACCUCUGUCCUUAAAAUUGAUAGGUGAGCGCUCAAGACAGUCGGCGUUCCAUCCAAAUGCUCCAGUCAGUCGUUCAGAGUUAAUCAAGGAUGAUACUGAUACAAUCUAAGCUCAUUGAAUCAAGAAGGGACCAGUUUUCAUGCAUCAUGAGCUUUUCUUGCAGGUUGAAACACAAACGAAGCUGACUCAGUUGAACUAGCUACAAUCUUCACCCAGGCAACAACAGGAGGGGAAAGAUUGGAGUUCUUGCAGCCUUGCUGAAGCUAUCCUUCAAUAACCAGAAAUGGGGUUAGGUUCAUUUCUUUGUUAAAUCAAUUUGGGAUCAACUGUUUUUGUCCACACACACCCCUUGUGCCCCAUGUAUGAACAUAUGGACUUGAAUGAAUAUUGAAUAAUGAACACUGGAAUAAGAGAAUCUAGUUUCCUACAAAAAUGGACCCCACUGGUUUUUAUGUUUUCUAAUAGUAAAAAUAGGAAGGAAUGACGAUUUUACAUUUUUAUUUUAACAAAAGUUAAAAGAAUAUUCAAGUGCUGAAAUCUAAACCGUCCACUUCUUUCUGGAUUUAACUUUCUACAGUUAAGUCCUUGAUAGCUAAGCAUGAUGAAGAAUUCUUUUUUAGUUCAACAUUUUGGUAGAAAACGAAGAACUCUUUUUUAGUUCAAUAUGUUGGUAGUUGAAGAUUGGAAGAUUUUAUUCUUUGCCAAGAUUUUUCAUUACUUUUUUCAUAUUAAAAGCCACGAAAACUUGUCAUGGCUAACAUUAGAAAUUAGACCUAAAGCGACCCUCAAACAAGCACACCACCUGCCACUCGUAUUCUAUGUUGGUACUGCCUUACAUAAAGGCGGCAGCUGCCUAUAAAAGCCAAGUUUUCCUUGUUUCUACACAUAUUGUUUCAUCUUAAUUUAUGUUUUUAAUUUAGAAUUUUGAUUUAAUAAAUCUGUUAAUGUUUUUCUCUUAAGUGUUUACUUUAUCUAGCCAGGUUUUACCAAAAAAACUAGAAGCCAUGCCACAUACAACUAGAUUUUGAUCCAGAGAAGAAUGCAUGAUUUUGCGGACGAUAUGUCGUCUUGACAUUGGAUGUUUGGAUGGCAUUAGUCUUGAAUUGAUUCUGAUUAUGGUUUCCAAUUUUUGGUCAUGCAACAUCGUGGAGAUUGCCAUGUUUGUUCUCCCUUCUACCACGUGUUGAUGCAGCAAAAACUCCUCCGUAGUUAUAUCUCUUUUUCUUACCCUAACUUAUAUUUAUAAGUUGUGUCGUUUCAGUUUUAUGAUGGGUGAUUUCGUUGAUUUCCAAAGUCAAGUGUUUAUCACCAACAACUCCAGUGAAUCCUUAACAGACGACGACGUCUACACCAAGAGGUCAAAGACCCUUGUAGGAAUAACGGGGGAUCGAUGAGUGCAUUGGACAAUGGACGUAGUAAUCUUGAGUUUUUGUGGGGUUUUGGAUUAGAUAAGGUAUGUAGAACUGCAAUUAAAGAUGGCAUCACCAUAUGUGUUAUAUUUCAAGUUGGAUGGAAAGAUGAUGGGUUGGUGGAGGAAGAUUUUCAGCUGGUUCAUUAUUUUGGCUGGUUUGAUGGGGACGGAAGUUUUUGGUUUGGUUCUUCUCUCAGCUUGCCAGAUAAUUUUUGCCAACUGUGGUGACUCGAGCAUUGCUUUGUUGUGGGAGUCAAAUCAGCCCUUGACGGCUGAUCACAAGAUCAGUUGGCUAGAUGAAUAUUUAUAUGAUAGACUUGUAAGGGAAAAGCGAGAGUUUUGUUUGUUGGCUGCCCUAGGGUCGAAAGGAGGGCUGGCUAUGACCAGAGCAAUAGGUGAUCAUUAGGUAAAACCAUGGAUCAUAUGGGAGCCGGAGGUCACAUUUAUGUCAAGGACUAAAGUAUAUGAGUGUUUGAUUUUGGCAAGUGAUGGAGUAUGGGGUGUCUUGUCUAAUGAUGACGAAGAUGGUGUGCAGCAUACCAAGGAGGCAAUGCAGAAAGUUGGUGUUUAGUGGAACUCACGAUGCAAUUUCUCCACGACAAUAUGCUGCAAAUCAAUUUCGCAAGGUAGCCAGUCAUUUCAGUGGUGACAACAUCUCCAGUUAUUGUGAUUGACCUAAAGCACCAAAUGAAGGAGCGUCAGCCUGAAAGUCCAUAAAGGAUGGAUGGGCAGACCCCAGAAGCAUGGUGAUCUUUUCUAGAAACUGGACAUAUACUUGGGCUGUAAAUAGUUGUACAAACGCUGCCAGCUCCUUUACCAUAUCUUUCUAGUUUGUUAGAGAAACUUCCUAUGUAUUUUUCUACGCACCUAGUUCCAACCUUGUAUACAAUUUUUUUCAUGCAAUAUGCAUCAACCAUACCCAGGUCCGCUAGUGUUGUGUUUCUUUUCAUUAUUUCAUUCUAAGCAAAUGAAUUUGUUGCUUCUAUGAAUAAUUAGCGAACUCUUUACAAUA